rnacentral:lncRNA from 1 species
CCAGAGAUAGGAAGAAGCACAUUCAGGUUCAACCUUUGAGCCCUCCGUAGCGUUGUCUAGGUGAUGAGGGAGGCGACUGGACAUCAUCUCGACCCACACCAUGCAUUGUCUGAUUCUAAAACAGACAAACAAUAAGUUACGAAGAACUCCAUGUGGCCAGCAUGUAAAAAUAAUUCAUUUAUGCCUUUAAAUCCUAGCAACAUGUUGGUAAAACCAUUCAUAAAUUUGAAGUAUCAUGAUGCAGAUAUUUUGGAAAAGAAAUACAAGAGACGUAAAUUGCAUGAACCAACAUAAAAACAAAGUUAUGAAGGCAGCUUAUGAUAGCUUAUUUACAUCGAUCUUAUAAAGCAACACUAAACAAGCAAUAAAUAGCAGUGGCCCUUCACAUAAAUCACUGAUAGAGAAAAUGCAUUACUACCGAAAAGAUCUCACACCAAUCAUAUAGAAUUCUGCACAUUCCUUUCUGAUAUACCACCUCUGUUUCUAAAUAUAAGAUGUUUUUACAGUUCAAUUUAAACUGCAAAAAUGUCUUAUAUUUAGGAACAAAGGGUGUACAUAUAUACAAAAGCACUCAGGUUCAGACAAUGAAAUCAAGUGUGUGUUAUCUAUGGUGGUGUUUCAAACAUAUAGUCGGAUGGUCCUUUUGUUUUCUGAGUAGUGUAAAUAGGCCAUGUCAACACAAUGAAUAGUUCAGCAAGUCCACAAAAUGAAAAGUCUCUGGUAGUAAUUAAAUGGUUUUAAGAACCAUGAUUUUGGCAGAUUGAAUUUACUGGCCAUGUUUGCACUAAAAACUAAAUAUGUUAAAAGAACAAUAGGAAAAAGAAUAUACUAUAUAUCCACGUCUACCAUUCUUUGUAAUCCCCACAAAAAUUAACAUUCUCCUCUCCACCUUAGCAUACGACGGCAUGUCACAAAUUUGAAGGGCAAAAGAACAAUGUGAGAAGGCAGGGUAGAAACAUUUGAAGCACCACUUGUGCCUACAGCCGUACCAUUGGAUUAUAGCUAAGAACAUGAACACCACAUGUAUAUCUUCAAAACACCACUUUCAUUUUAUCUAUAACUUGCCGUAGGUUUAUAACCCUACUGUCGAACUAAGAAUAUCUUUGGAUUGAAUAAAAUUCAUAUAACUUUAUGUGGCCAUUACAUAAUCUGGUUAUGACCAUACUGCAGCAAUAGAAAAGCAAAUUGAAAAAACAACAUAAAGAAUCAAAAUCUUGUAACUUUGGGCAUCCUCCCUAGUCCCCAUGUCAGCAAUCUGCUACUCUCCAAGAGGCAACUCAAAUCUAAAAAGAACACGGGAGCAUAAAGGAAUCGUUUUCGCACCAAUAAGAAAAGAAGCACAAAGUGAUCGACACCACCUUGGGGAACAAAUUUUACACUAUUGCCUUCCAUCGCCAUGGUUGUAACAGCAAUUAACAUGAACAUGACUAAUACCUCAUGCAUUUGUAUGUUCCCUAAAUCAAAGAAGAAAUAAAGUAGGAAGUACGUCAAGUCCGGACUGGUCAAGUCUCC